ensembl:lncRNA
UUUUUUUUUUUUUUUGAGAUGGAGUCUCACUCUGUCACCCAGGCUGUAGUGCAGUGGCGCAAUCUCGGCUCACUGCAAACUCCGCCUCCCAGGUUUAAGCGAUUCUCCUGCCUCACCCUCCCGAGUAGCUGGGAUUACAGGCACCUGCCACCAUGCUCAGCUAAUUUUUUGUAUUUUUAGUAGAGAUGGGGUUUCACCGUGUUAGCCAAGAUGGUCUCAAACUCCUGACCGCGUGAUCUACCCACCUGGGCCUCCCAAAGUGCUAGGAUUACAGGCAUGAGCCACCGUGCCCGGCCAGAGAAGGUUUUAUUUUAUUCAUAUUUCCAAGUCCAAAGAAAUUCUUCCUGAGGUCGGGACUGCUCCCUUAAAGGGCAUAUAAUGUACAACUCCUGGAUCUUGGUGUAUGAAAGCCCCGGGGACUUCAAGUACCUCUGUGUUUUCCAAGGCUGAGCCCUGCCCAAGUGGUGACAGGACACGUUUUGCCCACACCCUGUGCCUUGCCACUCUGCAGUCACCUCGCGUGCAGGGAGGGUGAGUGGUGGAGGAGAGGGCAGGACAGGACAGAUCGACUGCAGGGAAGCUGAGGAAAGAUGCGUGCACACGCCCUUGCUGGUACUGUCAUGCUGCUGUGGCUGCCAGCUAGGGGCCUGGGCCCCCCGGGCAAGAAGCAGGAAGGAAGAAGGAGACAGGAGACCUUAGCCUUCCCAUGCCAUGGCAUUCUUCCUCUUUCAGUUCCUCUUCCUUCCUCCACCCUAGCUUAACUUAAGAGUUCCAAGACUGCCCCAGAGUAGUUCUUGAGUCUACACUGGAACCACGAAGUGACACGGAAGCAGGAAAGGGGUUAGCCACCAACUCUGGGUGUGGCAGGGAGAGCAGCCGUCACAUCCUUGGGCAUCCUACCAAGAAAGUGCAUUCCAGGGUCUCUUUAUCCACAAAGACUCUGGGGCCCGUGAUCCCAUUGUCGAAUGUGUACUACUGUGAAACAAAGACAUUUGUAAAUUCAGUAUGAAUAUGCCUGUCAGUUGCUUCAGGAAACACAGAGUUCCUCAGGCCCUUUCUCCUUAGCAGCAACACAAUUCAAUUUGGUCUUUUACUGAGCAACUCAUUUAUACAAGCCUUCCUCUCCAUCCCCAACAAAAAGAAACAAGCCAAGCCUGUCUUCCCAGGAGUUUACCACAUAUCUCAGGAGAUGAGACAUGUGUACAAAUAGUCCAAGAGAGAAUGAGGUAAAUGCUACAACCCAAUCCAGGACAGAAGUAAUAGGAAAAGACUGACUCUGGCUGGAAAGAUCAGAAAGGUUUCAUGAAGGAGAAGAUUGGCUCUGGCUGGAAAGAUCAGAAAGGUUUCAUGAAGGAGACCUCAGCUGAGAUGGACCCUGAAGGAAGAGCAGAAUUUUGAUAGUCAACGUUUUCUCACUGGCUCUAUUGAUGGAGGCUGCGUUAGCUUGACUUAGAGAAAACCUGUCUGGGUUCCAGUAAAGUGUGUUUUUAGUCUCUGCUGCAGUUUUUGGAUACCCUGGUAAAAGGAUCUGAUAAGGCUGGGUGGCCUUAUCUCUCCAGGCCUUGGUUUCCUCUACUUGGUGUGUGAGAUCGAACUCGGCUGUAUGCCUGGCUCCUCCUUCUCUAUUUUGUUCUCAUUAGUGGUAGAAACAGAAUCCAAAGCUAAAGACACAGGAUGUGCCCUGCAAAAGAAUGUAUUAUUAGGGUAUUCACAGUUCUCCAAGGCUCCUUCUAGGACAUUAAUCCUAGAUGUGAUUUCAUCAUCUCCUACAUCUCCAAUACGUUUUUCUGAAAAAAGAAAGAAAUAAUAAAGAAGCUGUAGACUGGGUGCUGUAGCUCACGCCUGUAAUCUCAGCACAAAAAAACAGGCACAACAACACAAAAAGUAUUGUUCAUAGCAAUACUUUUCAUAAUAACCAAAGACUGGAAACAAUCCACAUUUCCAUCAACAUAAGAAUGGAUUAAAACAUUAUUGUUUAUUUACAGAACUAGAAUACCACACAACAAUGAGUAAAUUUAAGGGAUAUUUAAAACGAAAAAAGAGGCCAGGU